rnacentral:rRNA from 1 species
AGUGAACGCUGGCGGUAGGCCUAACACAUGCAAGUCGAACGGCAGCACAGUAAGAGCUUGCUCUUACGGGUGGCGAGUGGCGGACGGGUGAGGAAUACAUCGGAAUCUACUUUUUCGUGGGGGAGAACGUAGGGAAACUUACGCUAAUACCGCAUACGACCUACGGGUGAAAGCAGGGGAUCUUCGGACCUUGCGCGAUUGAAUGAGCCGAUGUCGUAUUAGCUAGUUGGCGGGGUAAAGGCCCACCAAGGCGACGAUCCGUAGCUGGUCUGAGAGGAUGAUCGGCCACACUGGAACUGAGACACGGUCCAGACUCCUACGGGAGGCAGCAGUGGGGAAUAUUGGACAAUGGGCGCAAGCCUGAUCCAGCCAUACCGCGUGGGUGAAGAAGGCCUUCGGGUUGUAAAGCCCUUUUGUUGGGAAAGAAAAGCAGCAGGUUAAUACCCCGCUGUUCUGACGGUACCCAAAGAAUAAGCACCGGCUAACUUCGUG